rnacentral:rRNA from 1 species
UACGGAGGGCGCAAGCGUUGUUCGGGAUCACGGGGCGUAAAGCGCGUGUAGGCGGCCGGGCAAGUCGGAUGUGAAAUCCCGAGGCUCAACCUCGGAACUGCAUUCGAAACUGCUUGGCUUGAGUCCCGGAGAGGAUGGCGGAAUUCCCGGUGUAGGGGUGAAAUCCGUAGAUAUCGGGAGGAACACCAGUGGCGAAGGCGGCCAUCUGGACGGUGACUGACGCUGAGACGCGAAAGCGUGGGGAGCAAACAGG